UGAGGAAUAUUGGUCAAUGGACGCAAGUCUGAACCAGCCAAGUAGCGUGCAGGAUGACGGCCCUCCGGGUUGUAAACUGCUUUUAGUUGGGAAUAAACGGCGGGACGCGUCCCGCUUUGCAUGUACCAUCAGAAAAAGGACCGGCUAAUUCCGUGCCAGCAGCCGCGGUAAUACGGAAGGUCCGGGCGUUAUCCGGAUUUAUUGGGUUUAAAGGGAGCGCAGGCGGGCUUUUAAGUCAGUUGUGAGAUACGGCGGCUCAACCGUCGGACUGCAGUUGAUACUGGAAGCCUUGAGUUCACACAGGGAUGCCGGAAUUCAUGGUGUAGCGGUGAAAUGCUCAGAUAUCAUGAAGAACCCCGAUCGCGAAGGCAGGUAUCCGGGGUGUUACUGACGCUGAGGCUCGAAAGUGCGGGUAUCAAACAGG
rnacentral:rRNA from 1 species